rnacentral:rRNA from 1 species
UCUUCGGCAAUGGGCGCAAGCCUGACCGAGCGACGCCGCGUGCGGGAUGAAGGCCUUCGGGUUGUAAACCGCUGUCGUAGAGGAGGAAGUGCAGGAGGGUUCUCCCUCCUGUUUGACCUAUUCUAGGAGGAAGGACGGGCUAAGUUCGUGCCAGCAGCCGCGGUAAGACGAACCGUCCAAACGUUACUCGGAAUUACUGGGCUUAAAGGGUGCGUAGGCUGCGCGGAAAGUCGGAUGUGAAAGCCCUCAGCUCAACUGGGGAAUUGCACUCGAAACUACCGUGCUCGAGGGAGACAGAGGUAAGCGGAACUCAAGGUGGAGCGGUGAAAUGCGUUGAUAUCUUGAGGAACACCGGUGGCGAAGGCGGCUUACUGGGUCUCUUCUGACGCUGAGGCACGAAAGCCAAGGUAGCAAACGGGAUUAGAUACCCCGGUAGUCUUGGCUGCAAACGAUGAGCACUUGUUUGAAGGGUCCUCCAUAGCCUUUCAGACGUAGCGAAAGUGUUAAGUGCUCCGCCUGGGGA